GACGAACGCUGGCGGCGUGCCUAAUACAUGCAAGUCGAACGCAGUGGGGACGGGUGAGUAACACGUGGGUAACCUCCCAUCAGAGGGGAUAACACUUGGAAACAGGUGCUAAACCGAUACUGAUGGAUGGACCCGCGGGGCAUUAGCCAGUUGGUGAGGUAACGGCUCAACAGGGCGACGAUGCAUAGCUGGCCGGAGAGGGUGAGCAGCCAGACGGGGACUGAGACACGGCCCAGACUCCUACGGGAGGCAGCAGUAGGGAAUCUUCGGCAAUGGACGAAAGUCUGACGGAGCCACGCCGCGUGAGUGAAGAAGGUUUUCGGAUCGGAAAGCUCUGUUGUUAGGGAAGCGGUAUCUAACCAGAAAGCCACGGCUAACUACGUGCCAGCAGCCGCGGUAAUAC
rnacentral:rRNA from 1 species